UACGUAGGGUGCAAGCGUUAAUCGGAAUUACUGGGGCGUAAAGCGUGCGCAGGCGGUUGUGCAAGACAGAUGUGAAAUCCCCGGGCUUAACCUGGGAAUUGCAUUUGUGACUGCACGGCUAGAGUGUGUCAGAGGGGGGGUAGAAUUCCAGGUGUAGCGGUGAAAUGCGUAGAUAUCUGGAGGAAUACCGGUGGCGAAGGCGGCAUUCUGGACCAUUACUGACACUGAAAUCGCGAAAAGCUAGGGGGAGCAAACGGG
rnacentral:rRNA from 1 species